GAUGAACGCUGGCGGCGUGCCUAAUACAUGCGAGUCGAGCGAACAGACGAGGAGCUUGCUCCUCUGACGUUAGCGGCGGACGGGUGAGUAACACGUGGAUAACCUACCUAUAAGACUGGGAUAACUUCGGGAAACCGGAGCUAAUACCGGAUAAUAUAUUGAACCGCAUGGUUCAAUAGUGAAAGACGGUUUUGCUGUCACUUAUAGAUGGAUCCGCGCCGCAUUAGCUAGUUGGUAAGGUAACGGCUUACCAAGGCGACGAUGCGUAGCCGACCUGAGAGGGUGAUCGGCCACACUGGAACUGAGACACGGUCCAGACUCCUACGGGAGGCAGCAGUAGGGAAUCUUCCGCAAUGGGCGAAAGCCUGACGGAGCAACGCCGCGUGAGUGAUGAAGGUCUUCGGAUCGUAAAACUCUGUUAUUAGGGAAGAACAAAUGUGUAAGUAACUAUGCACGUCUUGACGGUACCUAAUCAGAAAGCCACGGCUAACUACGU
rnacentral:rRNA from 1 species